CACAAAUCUUUCUACAGCGUUGUUGGCAGGGCGGCCAGAGCGAUUUUUGACGCUCUUGACGGCGGCGGUGUAAAUGAGAUUUAUGUACUG